AUUUUUAUGAUUUUUUUUUUGCGGUUUGGUUGUAACAUUUUUCUUUUUCUAUUUUCUUAAUUAAUUAUCAUUGAUUAUUGAGAGUGAAGUAAUCGCUCUUACAAACAAAGUCAUCAUUUCAUGUUAUUUCUUAAAGAAACGUGUUCUAGACCAAUGUUUACCAACCUUUUUCCUUAACGGAUUACUUCGCACAUCCUGAACAUUUAGCGGAACACUUUGAUUAUUUUUUUAGAGAGAUUUUAAAUCACGUGGUGGCCUAUUAGUUAAUUAUUACAAUAGUUCUUGGAACACCUAAUUCAGGCAUCUCGGAACACGGGUUUUUGGCGAAUAGUUAGGGAAAAAUUGUUCUAGAGCAUUCCACUUCACCUAAUAUAUGUUGGUGGUUCAAAACAAUUUUUUUACAAUAUCUUCAUCAGAUUCUUAUUGCCUAGUCAAACUGACCUAAAUACACUGUGUCACAACCUGAAUUACUGAUGUAGAACCUACCUUGUAUAAUGCUUAGUAUUUAGUGGAGAUGGUGAUUGUCUGCAUCUUACAAUCAUAUGUAAAAUAAGAAAUAAUGCUUGACUAUUUAUUUUCAUGAAUAAUAAUAAAAUAUUUCUUAUUAAGAUGUUCACCUGUACCUUUUGUAUGUAUACUAUCUUUAUCCUUCGAUCUAUAAAUUAAUUAAUCAUAUUAGAUUGCACUUGAUAACAAAAAUAAAUAUAUAUUUUAAAA